UUCAGUUCGGAUAACUAUUAAGGGGGUGGAAUACUAGGGUUAGGGCUUUCGGCUGGAUGCAAUUUCGUACCGGGGAAUGCAGAUGGCUGCGGCGCAUCAAAGGUCAGUGUAUCUCACCGCCCUAUCUCAGGAGAUCGAGAGGAAACUCCAAAAGGCGCUGAACUCUCCGUCCCAAAGGCUUCAACUGUUGCAGCAACUGUUUGCCGAUAUAGCGCUAGAGAUUGAUGACCGAGCAAGAG